UGGGGGAUCUUGCGCUAAUGCGCGAAAGCGUGACGCAGCGACGCCGCGUGGGGGAUGAAGGCCCUCGGGUUGUAAACCCCUUUCGGCAGGGACGAAGCGAAAGUGACGGUACCUGCAGAAGAAGUCCCGGCUAACUACGUGCCAGCAGCCGCGGUAACACGUAGGGGACGAGCGUUGUCCGGAUUCAUUGGGCGUAAAAGCGCGCGUAGGCGGCUCGGAAAGUCGGUCGUGAAAGGCUGGGGCUCAACCCCAGGACUGCGUCCGAUACUUCCGGGCUGGAGGUAGGUAGGGGAGAUCGGAAUUCCUGGUGUAGCGGUGAAUGCGCAGAUAUCAGGAGGAACACCGGUGGCGAAGGCGGAUCUCUGGGCCUUACCUGACGCUGAGGCGCGAAAGCUAGGGGAGCGAACGAGGAUUAGAUACCCUGGUAGUCCUAGCCGCAAACGUUGGGUGCUAGGGUGUGGGCGGACAUCGACCCCGUCCGUGCCGAAGCU
rnacentral:rRNA from 1 species